GCUGAUGACAGCUACGAGCCACCUCCAGUAGAGCAGGAAACCAGGCCGGUUCACCCAGCCCUGCCCUUCGCCAGGGGCGAAUAUAUAGACAAUCGAUCAAGCCAGAGGCAUUCCCCGCCCUUCAGCAAGACACUUCCCAGUAAGCCCAGCUGGCCUUCAGAGAAAGCAAGGCUCACCUCCACCCUGCCGGCCCUGACUGCUCUGCAGAAACCUCAAGUCCCACCCAAACCCAAAGGCCUCCUUGAGGAUGAGGCUGAUUAUGUGGUCCCCGUGGAAGAUAAUGAUGAAAACUAUAUUCAUCCCACAGAAAGCAGUUCACCUCCACCUGAAAAAGGUAAGAGUUUGUCGCCUUAAGCACCUGAAAAUUUUUAGCAGUUGAUCAGGAUGUUCAAGAGUAUUUGGUAGUAAGCACUUAGAGGCUCAGAAAUGACAGUGCCCAGGACUUUCUCCCCUGGGCCACAGUGUGUGCUUCUUUGGCUGGUUGGGCAGACAGCAUCAGUGACAACCCAUCUCUGUGUGUCAUAGCCCUUCCCUGCCUUCCCCUUCCUCUUCCAUGAUUUAAUCUUCCCAUCUCACAUUAUGAAAGCACCUGGGUAGUUCUCUUCAGCUGCCCUCGCUUCAAAUGGAUUUCUCAUAAAACCUAAUACAAUGUCGCAAGCCACCAUGUUGGCCUUGUAAACAUUGCACCAAGAACAGUUUCUGCAGAGGAGUGAAAAAAUGAAAGAGUGAAAUAUGCCCUGAGUCCUGGCUCUUUAAAUUUAGUAGUAUGUUAGGCCUAUGAAACAUUUCAUCCGUAAACCCUUCACAGAACAGCAAAUGCUAUGACGAAUGAAUUACCUUAAAAAGCCAGUGCUGCAUAAGAUUAGGCAUGGAAACAGGGUAUGUUUACUCUGAAUAUAGUCACUAUGGAGAAUAUGAUCCAGUACAAGUGAUACCUCUUCAGGUAACAUUACUCAUCUACUACUCUCAACUCCAUGGUAGCCAUAUUCAGGUUUCAGUCCGCCAUCAUGUAGCAACCCUCUCCCGUACUCCGUACCUAUCACCAGCAGCUUCAAGACCCACCUGAAUUCCCAAGCCACCCAUUACCACAAAACAACAAAUACACAUUCCCUCCUUACCAACCCCUCUUUAAAAAAAC
rnacentral:sRNA from 1 species